UUUGUGUUUUGCUCUCAACGUUUAUUUUGGCCUUCUUUUUCUGGCCAAAUGAUUUAAUUUCAUGCAUUUCGCUUUGCGGCAAUGGUGCUGCUUAUUAGUUGCAAUUUGCCAGCUGUGGUAUAAGUUUACUCUAGCCAAAACCAACAGCCAGCACCGCAAACUAAACCAAAUAAAUAAAAUAAUUGCCUUUCCGAGAAGUUGAUAGAAUGGGUAAAAAUAAAGGAGGCGGUGGCGGCGGAGGAGGAGGAGGUGGCGGUGGUGGAGGCGGCGGCAAUGUAAGCAAUAUUUGUGUUAUGCAACUUGCGUACUAAUUAAAAAGGGCGGCGGUGGUGGAGGCGGCGGCGGAGGCGGAGGUGGCUCCGGAAAUAAAAACAAAGGCGGCGAUGGAGGCGGCGGUGACAAAGGUGGAGCCAAGAAAGGACAGGACCAAAAGGCAGCCGCAGGCGGUGGCAAGAAGGGAGGCAAGAAAUAGCAACCGUGGCAACAUCAAAGCGCAUUAAAAAUUACAAAUUUAGAGUUAAGUUGAAAUUAAAAGUGAUAUCAGGGUGUAUAUUUCUAUAAUGUAUGUGACUUUCUUACA